rnacentral:rRNA from 1 species
AGAGUUUGAUCCUGGCUCAGGACGAACGCUGGCGGCGUGCCUAAUACAUGCAAGUCGAGCGGAUUUAUCCUUCGGGAUAAGUUAGCGGCGGACGGGUGAGUAACACGUAGGCAACCUGCCUAUAAGACUGGGAUAACUAUCGGAAACGAUAGCUAAGACCGGAUAACUGAUUUUCUCGCAUGAGAAAAUUAUGAAACACAGAGCAUCUGUGGCUUAUAGAUGGGCCUGCGGCGCAUUAGCUAGUUGGUAGGGUAACGGCCUACCAAGGCGACGAUGCGUAGCCGACCUGAGAGGGUGAACGGCCACACUGGGACUGAGACACGGCCCAGACUCCUACGGGAGGCAGCAGUAGGGAAUCCUCCGCAAUGGGCGCAAGUCUGACGGAGCAACGCCGCGUGAGUGAUGAAGGUUUUCGGAUCGUAAAGCUCUGUUGCCCUAGACGAACAGCAAGAGGAGUAACUGCCUUUUGUGCGACGGUAUAGGAGAAGAAAGCCCCGGCUAACUACGUGCCAGCAGCCGCGGUAAUACGUAGGGGGCAAGCGUUGUCCGGAAUUAUUGGGCGUAAAGCGCGCGCAGGCGGUCAAUUAAGUUGGGUGUUUAAGCCCGGGGCUCAACCCCGGUUCGCAUCCAAAACUGGUCGACUUGAGUGUAGGAGAGAAAGUGGAAUUCCACGUGUACCGGUGAAAUGCGUAGAGAUGUGGAGGAACCCCAUGGCGAAAGCUACUUUCUGGGCUUAAACUGACCCUGAGGCGCGAAACGUUGGGAAGCAACCGGAUAGAUACCUUGGUAGCCACGCG